rnacentral:lncRNA from 1 species
GCCGGGCUCCCGUGCAGGCUGGGUGAGGGCUGCGGUGCGACCCGACGACCGCGCAGAGGCAGAGGAGGGCGCGCGAGCUCGCGGAUGAGGGGCUGAGCAGGGCGUCGCGGCGGGGCGCUGGUCCGGUGAUCCCGACAGUGCCGCGGGAGAGGCGCGCGCCAGCCGGGACACGCGGGCGAGCGUCACCGAGCGCGGAGGGCCGGGCUCCCGCGUUCAGGCCCUGUGCUGCUGGGCGUGUGUGAAGCGUGCCCGCGAAACCGUCCCAGUUUAAAAAGAGCACAGUUCGCGAUUUGGCUGCAUAGGUUCAGUGUACUGCCAGUGCUUAUUGGCAUUUUCGUUUAUUUGUCCCAAACGUGUGCAUGGCCCCGAGAAGGAAGGCAGACCCCCGAGACAGGUCCAGGUCCCAGCUCAGUGGUGUUUGCAGUGUUUGGCCGGGGAAGACUUGGCGAGGGCCAGGAAGUCCGAGGCGAUGGAACAGGGCCGGGGACUCAGCUCAGUGGUGCCGCCGCCUGCUUCGCAAGCGCAAGGUCCCGAGUUCGAUCCCCGGUACCAAAAAAAAAGCGAUGGAAAGAACCACCUCUUGCUUCCCAUUUAGACCUGCCGUGUGCAGAGCUGAGGACUGGGUGUAGACUUCACAAAAUGAAGGGCGAAUUUGUCCGACCUGUUACUACCUAUUAGGUAUUUCUAGGCCCAACUGAAGAGUCAUGGUGUUUUGUUGUUGUUGACUUUGACAAAAACCACUUUUAAGUUGUUGACUGUCACAGAAGUAGCACAGACCAUGCUUAUAUUUCCCCUUGAGAUAGGGUCUUGAUACAUAGCUCAGGAGGGUCUUGAACUCACUGUGCACCCCAGGUUGGCCUUGAACUUGCAGGCAUCGUCCUCCCUCUGCCUGCCAAGUGCUGGAAUUGCAGGUGUGCACCAACACGCCUGGCUAAAUCAUGCUUAUUUUUUUGUGCCGGGGAUCAAACUCAGGACCUUGCACUUGCGAGGCAGGUGUGGUGCCACUGAGCUACAUCCCCAGCCCCUUAAAUCAUGUUGUGGUGAGUAACAGGCUAAGGAUCCCUGGAGUUUGUUUGUUUUUUCCAUCCCUGUGGUGGUCUCCGUGGUCCUCUCAAUAUCAUGGUCUCCAACUGUGUCGUGACCAGGAUGUCCCCAGCAUGUAAAAAGUUGCAGGAAGAGGACAGGAGUGGGCUGGGGGGCCUCCAUCAGGGUGAAAGGCUAGGGAGGACCUGCUGGUGGAGGGAGUGUCUGGGAGAAGCGUCUGAGCACUCUUCUUCAGGGGCUGCAGCUUCUCAGGGGCUGAAAACAACAGAAGGAACCGUGUUGGUUCUUGCAGGAGCCAAGCUGAGCCCACACCCUGAGAAACCAGAACUAAAGGAGCAGAUGGAAGAGAGAAAGUCUGCACAAGUGGAGGAAGAAAAUCCCCCAGAAUGGAUAAGGUCAUGGUAGACUAGGUGGAAACCAAAAUUGGGGAGGAAAAGUUGGAUAAGAAACUGUAGGGUGGGCUGGGAUUUAGCUCAGUGGCACCACGCCUGCCUUGCAAGUGCAAGGUCCUGAGUUUGAUCUGCAGUGUCAAAAAAAACAAGAAGAAAGAAACUGCAGGGAAGCUGAGGAUGGCGCAUGUCCUCCAGCCUUCCAGGCACAGCCUGCACCAAGCAGUGCGGUCAGGAGGGAAAGGGAUUCCACCGUGGAUUCAUGCGCCAGGUCAAGGAGCUCCCCUGGGUGGACUCAGAGCAGGAUUAUGUGGCCUGGAAGUGCCCAGUCCGAGGGAGGGAAGAGAGCACUGUGAGGGCCCGGCCCAGGCCCCAGGGACUAGAAUCUGGAGCCGCCCUCAUUGUAGGUGCCAGGCGAGUGUGAGGAGUGUGAGCAUGGGGGGAAUGCCUUGGCCAGAGAAGGUGGAGACCGCACCUUCAGCUGUUCUGCUGUGACUUAGGGAGGUGCAGGACGGGGGACUCCUGCCUCAGAACUAGUGAGAUUCUUCUGUCCUCCUCCACUUGCAACCAGUGAAGAUUUGGACACAGCAUCUCUCACAGACUUAGUAAUUGUUCAGGUUUUCUCACCCUGUGUUAAAACUUGGGAGUUUAGAUAACAGAAAGACGUUCUCACUUUCCCAAAGCUCUAGAGGGAGAACACAAGCAGUUUGAACACCAUGUGGCAUUUACCCUGCAGUAGGGGUGUGGCAGCACAGAAUGUGGUGGACAGGGCGGAGAUGCUGUGCUUCGGGACAGGAGAGCAGCAGAGGAGGCCCUGAGCACAGUCCCAUUUCACCAGAGCUUGCAGGUGGGCAUCAGCAGGCGGGGCUGUGUGGGCAGGCUGCUCUCUCAGGUGGUGACGGUUUCCUCUGGAGAAGGAGCCUGUGUGUGACAGGACACCCAGGACAUGUGGGCAGAAAUACCUUUGCAGUGAUGAGAUGUUUGCAAUCACGUCAGUGCUGUCAUUGAGCAAGCACUGUUCAGAUCCUUCUCCAUGCUGGGCCCUAAGCUGGAAACUGUGCAGACAGAGCCAAAGAAACUGUCAUCCCAGCAUCCCCAGAGCUCUCAGACACGAAAAGCAGCAAGUGAUGGGAAGGACUCGGACAAAGAAGCCGCUGCUGGGUGGGACUGCAUCGGUGUUUGUGUUAAUUCUCCAUCUGGCUUCUCCCGCAGCUGCCACACCUGUCUGAAGGUAAUGACUGUGACCUCUCAAAAUAUCACCACCUCCUUGGCUCCAGGUUGGCUGAAGGCCACUCACAUUGCUCAGGUCUGAGGAUGCAGGUGACCUCAUCAGUGUCCCCUGACCGUGUCCCUGUCAGCUGCAGAAACCAAGAGGCAAGGUCAGUAAAACUUACAGGUUUCUCCCUGCCAUGUUACCCUCAUGUUCUUGGCUCUGUCAGGUAAGAGCUUUUAAACUUCACUCUUCUGUCUGCAUGAAGGCAAAUUACAUACUGGUCAUAUUCCUCAAACUGUAAUACUUGUUUUAUCCUCAAAUUUGAAAUAAAAUAGGGUAAAAAAUGAAGCCCUUCAUAUAGGGGUGUGUGAGACUAAAAUUCAGGUUUUACGAUGCUCAAGUGGUUGAAGAACAUGUUUUUAUUCUGCUAAAACAAGAAUGAGCUAAUACCCCUGCUGUGCUCCUCUUGUUGGCCUUAUCAGAUAUAAAAGCUCUACUGAGCUCCAGAGCUUAGAUCUGCAGCAGUUUAGCUCAUGCAGUGCAUUUGCUGCCCUGUGCUUAAAACACUGCUGGUUACACAGGGGACGCAGAGUUGGGCACGGCAGCCCUUAGAGGAGCUUCGCGUAUUUGCACCAGGGUCACUAAGGACUGUCAGUACCUUCUGUGACAACAUCUCUCGUGGACAGUUCUGAGCCCACUCUGGAGAAAGGGAAGAGGACAGUGACGGGGCACAGCCCUGGGCUCUCUGCCUCCCAAAGAUUUAGGAUGAAAGGACCCUGGGGAAUCUCUUCGGGGAGUGUCCUACAGGUGAGGGUUCACACACACUUCGCAUGGCUCCCAUCCCUGGUUUCCUUUCACAGAUAAUCGUCAGAUUUAGCAACAUCAGGAGGAGCCAGCCAGACAUGGACUGCAGAGCCUCAGUUCAAGAUGCUGCUGAGAAAGUGAAGCAGGCAGGAGUCAGUGCCGGAGAGGGGUCCAUGUCGGUGUCGGGAGAGCGCAUUGGUGGCCUUCAGCAGUGGUGGUGAAUCCUGGAGAGACGUCUGUCCCCAGGAGUCCCCGAUGACAGCUCCAGAUGCCAGAUGACUAAUAGAACCACUCCCUUGUGUUGACCUCACAGGAAGUCCUUGGAUGUACAUCUACUGCUACCGAGGUCACCAUGGCAGUACCACGCAGCCCCAGUCCAGGGGCUGAAGUGAAUGUUGUGGAGUUCAAGGAGUAUAAGUGCUCUUGGGUGGGAGACAAUGAACUGCAAUUUGAAGACCGCAGAUCAAGUUCCGUUAGACCUGAAGCAGCUCUUGGCUCCCUGGACACCAAAGUGCAGAAACGUGGUGAGUUGUGUAGGUUCACAGUAAGCAGGAUGAUAAAUGGUUCUGUUUUCUCUCCACAAAUGAAAUAGUUUCCAAAAGUGAUUCUUUUCUUCACUUUAUUGAAAUUAAUUUAUCUUCCCAUAUUUGUAGAAAGGCAGAAGUUGGUAUCUUGCCCUCCAUCUGGAUGGAAAACUGGGGCUCAAAGCAUUUACCAGUGUCUCCCAGUUCACACCAGGAGUGGGGUGGGACCCAGGUAAAAAUCCCAGUUACCGAUUCCCGUUGAAGGCAGGGAAUGGUGUGCUUUUCUCAAGAAUGGGUCAGGCCAUUUCGGUUAGGACCCUCUGUGUCCCUCUCGGACCCUCCAGAUGUGUAGCAUCGCUCUUGGCCUAAGGUUCUGGGACCAGGGCCCUUGCCUUGCCCUGAAGCUUCCAUGGAGUCUGAGUGGGCACAGCACCUGCUGGUUAUGUUGGGGCAAGCUGGGGCGACAGGUUUCAGAGGAGCUGGGGGGCCGGGGUUCCGCUCCUAACUGAACCUAUGGCAGCCACCGUUGUCACCACGGAGACCAGGGACUUGAUUGGCAGUGGGGAAGACCUGCUUCGUGGACACAGGCUCUCAGGCAUCCAGGAGAGCCGUGCCUGUCACUCAGUGGAGGGUGUGUCUGGGACAGGAGACUGUGGCCCCCGUCUGUCUCUCCAAGAGCGGGUGGACUAGGGAGGGGCUGGGCAGCAGGUCCAGGUGGACCUUGGGGGCCUGAGUCAGACUUGAGGCCGCAGGAGAGGCGGUGUGGAGGAGGCCAGCUGUGGCCCGGCCCAGGUCCCAAGCAGGGCGCCGCCUUCCCGUGCUGGGCCCCCAUAGCAGAGCGAUCGGCCUGUGCAGGAGAGGGGCUGUGGUGACCAAGGAGUCAGGGACCAGCUGGACCAGCGCUGGGGAGGUGCUUUGGGGCUGGGCCGAUGGGGGUGGAGCCCUGGCUCUCAGAACCAUUUUGUUCUUUUCCAGUUAUCUUUAAUUGUUAUUCUUCGUACUUGGUCAUCUACUUGUUUUGCUUUUUGCUUUUAUCUUGUUUUUUAUUUGGAGACAGAAAGUCACCUUGUAGCCUGGGUUGGGCUUGAACUUGCAGCAUUCUGCCUCCUUCAGCCUCCUGAGUGGCUAAGAUUACAGACUUGCAAAGACAAAUGUGCCCUUCAGCCCGGCCAGUGGCAGCACCCUGCUUCAGGGCAGCUGCGUGCGAGCCAGGAAGUCGGUGGUUGGCGGAAUGCACGGAGCAUCCCCAGGUGCCAGGCUGCAGGCAUGAUGUCGCCUGCCUGCCUGCCGUGUUGGAUCUUAACACCUAUGACUCUCAGGAGACCCGACUGCUCUGUCGCCACCUCCUGGCCGGGAGGAGUUGUCCUGUUCACAGCAGACGCCUGGGAGUGCAACCACAGGACUACCCACAGUGAGGGGUUCCAGGACGGUGACGGGAGUGAGGAGCCAGGUCUGCCUCAGCCCACCAGCCCUGAGGAGCAGCUUCCGGAUCACAGAGAAGACAGGGAUCCCCUUCUGGUGGCCACAGUGCAGGACAGAUACCACCUGUGACCCUCAGCCUCUCAUGCUGUCCCUGGGGUAGGAAUGUGGGCUGUGGCUGAGGAAUGGGAAGACCCAGGUCCCCAAACUGCUCCCAGAGCUGCUGUCUCCUGAAAUCCCACCAUCACUCACUCUGCUGGGGCUUUAUCAUUCCUGUGUUCCCGUCCUCCAGCUGACCCG